rnacentral:rRNA from 1 species
UGGGAACGUGCCUUUUGGUUCGGAACAACCCAGGGAAACUUGGGCUAAUACCGGAUAAGCCCUUACGGGGAAAGAUUUAUCGCCAAAAGAUCGGCCCGCGUCUGAUUAGCUAGUUGGUGGGGUAAUGGCCGCCAAGGCUACGAUCAGUAGCUGGUCUGAGAGGAUGAUCAGCCACAUUGGGACUGAGACACGGCCCAGACUCCUACGGGAGGCAG